rnacentral:lncRNA from 1 species
AGGUAUCUUCCAUACACAAAUCUGGAGCUUGGGUGCAUCAAACGCUCCAUCUAGUAAUCAAAUCAGAAACCAAACCAGGAAAACAUUCACAGGGUUUCGGGGGAACCAAUGUCUACGCCAAUUUGGUCCGCACACUUUGCUCUCGAGGAGUAAUUCUGACCCAAUAAAUAUCGACGUUAAGUCAUCAAGCCGAUUCAUUACACCUCGCAACAUCUGAUAUGACGAAAAUUUCGACUGCAAAUGCCAGUUCUUUCUUGUUAACGAACCCUCCAUUCGGUUUCUCGAGAUCUCCCCACGGCAUAAAGUUCGGGCGACCGUAGUUGUAAUUUUUGGCAGAGAGCCAACCACUAACUGCAAUGCCCCGAAAGAAAUACUAAUUAGUUCUUUUUAAAAAAAAUUAAUAUCACGAAAAACUUUAAAUUAGUACAUAAGUGACAAAUUUAGCCUAAAACUUAUUUUCGAAUCACAAAAAAAUCCCAAAUUAAUACAUAUAUGGCUAAUUUACCUCAAAUUUAUAUGAAUUUUCAUGUGGACUUGCCAUGUGUUAUCCAACUCAAUGAUUUCAUAGUAAAAUUUAAUAGAAGCUAACAAGUGACCAAUUUGGGGGUUUUUUUGAUAAAUUUAUCGCUAAUGUACUAGUUUAGAGGUUUUGGUAAUAAAAAAAGUAGUUUGAAGAAAAUUUGUCAUAAGUAUAUCAGUUUGAAGUUUUUUAGAGUAUUAAUCUUUUUUUUUUGGGUUAAAUUAUAGAGGUAGCCAUAUCUAAUUAGCAUACUCAUACUCAAUGUGGAACGAUGAAGAGACAUAGCAUUAUUCUUUCAAAAGGAGAUAUUCGUCUGCUUAUCUGGAUUGUUGUUAUGAUACUCAAAGUUUGGGAAGUCAAAUAGAUUGGGCUUUGAGCCCUUUGCAAAAAGCCAUUUGGAAAUUUUCCUUUAAAUAAGAAUGAUAUUCAUUUAUAAAGAUCUUGGAAAAAUUCUGCAUAUUUUUCUUUUUAAUUUGUAUAUAUGGUAAUACUUACAUAUAUAUGCGUAAGCCCGUUUGUGUGUGUAUCGUAAGAGAUUGAUUUUUUUUUUUUAAGAAAAAGAAAUUAAAACUCAAUCUAGACACAGCAGUUACAGAGAAAAAGAAAAGAAAAAACUAGCUGUUUUUUCCUUAUUGUUUUUUUUUUUUUUUUUGGGUCUGAAAAAGAUAAUAUUAUUACUAACGCAUAUUAGAAGUAGCAUUUUGCAUAAUGUUAUAAUACAACAGGUCACGCAAAAACAAAGGAGGGUUGUGAACCCAAUCCGGAGGAAGUAAAGAAGCCCGAUGGGCCUUCGCGGCCCGGUCUGCUACCAUAUUCAUUUCCCUCUUGCAAUGAGCUAUCUGAAGAUUAGGGCAUCGAGGAAGCAUCGACGUGCAUCCUUCAAUCAGAGGUCUGAUUUCCCAUGGUGGCAGAUUAGGGUUUCGUAUUGCCUCCACAAGAGAUAAGCAAUUAGUUUCUAGAUUAAUCCGAUCUGUUUUAUCCUUAUUGUUUCGAGGGUCGUUUUUGUUCAACAGCCGCAAUUUGGCUUUUACAUACAUUUUGAUCCUUAGAGGAAGGCCUGCGCUUGUAACUAAACGGACAGUGACUUCCCCUCCUGCGUCCCAUUGCGCUGGGGAAACACCUUUAACUUCCUACACACGAUAAUCUUAAUUAAAACAAAUAUGAGUUUUAGCGAAUUCUAAAACUUUUCACAAGAGUAUAGUUUUUUUUUUUUUUUGGUAAGUUCACAAGAGUAUAGUUGAAUCCUAAAAUUUUCAAAAAAAAAAAAAAAAGGUGCAAUGAAAUCCUAAAAUUUAUCAUGAAAGUGCAAUUGAGUCAUAAAACUUGUUAAAUUAGUGCAAUUAAAUUCUAAAACCUGUUAACAUUUUCUAAAGCUUGUUAGCAUUUUUCAUUUAUCAAAUUUAACAAAGUUGAUGAGAGAACUUGAAUGCACCAACUUAGCAGGUUUAAGGACUUAAUCAAACUUUUUGAAAUUUUUAUAACUUAAUUAUAUUUUUGAGACAAAUUUUAGGACUUGUCGUGUAUUUAUUUCUGAAAUUUAAAAAGAGGCAAAAGGCAAGUAGCUAAUUCCAUUUCCUCACCAACUUUUUCGUUUUGGGAAUGUACGAAUUCCUCCUUCCGAGGGUAAAGGCGUCGGAAUACUAAGGGUCCUUGUUCGAUGUGGAGAACUGUGGGAUCUUGCAAGUGGUUUUGUUAUGAGGUGGAUCUUUGUCGCGACGUCUCUUUUUUCGGCGCCCGCGAUCGAGUACGAGCGCCUAAGGAGGCUAAUGGCUCGGCUGAAAUUAGUUAUGCCCGAACUCUCCCAAGUCCACCAAUUCACGAAUUUAAUAGUCUAAAUUUUUAACCUGUAAAUCAAUUUUUAAAAUGGAAUCGCCACUAAUCGAUUUUGGGUGGGUUGAUAAGAAACCCAAGUGAAGUAUCAGGAGAAAUACUCACUCCUGCGCAACCAGAGAAAUUAGGAUCAGGGACUUGAUUACACUAGUUAAUCACUAAUGCCCUUUCAGUACCUAAUCUUGUUUAAACGGUUUUUUGGAUGUUCGAGGGAUUUUCCACGUAUUUUUGGGAGGAAUUCAAGUCCAAACCUCUCUCUUUUUCUUUUUUCUUUUUUUCUCUUUUUUCUCCUUCCUUUCUCUUUCUCUCUCCUUCUUCCCCCCAACCAAUCACCGACCGUCGCUGCUGCUGUCGACGAUGGCCAAUGACCAGCUAGGUAAGGUCCGAUGAGCUCGUCGGAGGCUCACCAGGCUAGGGCGAGGUCCAACGGGUGAGCCCAAGCCUCGUCGAUGGUUGGGCGAGCCUUGCCUAGCCCGUCGAGCCUCAUCAGGCUACUGGCCAUGCUUGGCCUCACCCCGGCUAAAGAGGCCUAGCCUAGCACUGCUUGGGCGACAGCGAUGGCCGGCGCUGAUUGGGUAAGGUCCAGUGAGCUCGUCGAAGGCUCACCUGGCCACUAGCGAGGCUCGACCUCACCCAAAUUUGCGAGGUUGAGGCUCAUGGUAGCCAGACGAGCCUCCAAUGAGCUCGUCGAACCUCGCCUAGUUGAUUGCCGACCAUCGCCGGCGCCCGCGACCAACCACAAAGAAGGAGGAAGAAGAAGCAAAAAAGAAGAGAAAAUAAGAAAAAUAUAAUGAAAGUAUUAAAAAUUAAAAGAAACAAAGGAAUUUAAGAGUCCCAUCAAACACUUUCUAUUCCGAGAAUAAAAAUUUUCAAUAGUUACCAAAUGCUUUCAAAUAUUCAGAAAUUGUUCCCAAAAAUAAAAUAAAAAGGAAUCAUUUUUGAGUGAAAAUUGUCCUCGGAAAUAGAAUAGUUACCAAAUGUACCAUUGGUGUUAACUAUUCUCCAUGAAGGGAGAUCUUUCUUCAAAAGCUUUCGCAGUGGGCAAAAUGUUUUGAGAAUUUCUUUCAAAUAAAAUUGUUAUAUUAGCUUAUGAAACAUAUUCUCAUUUGGAAACUUUAUAAUCAAAUAAAAUUUUAAAAAUUUUAAAAGCAAUAGACAUUAAUUAUUAUGACUAACAAAUAAAAUGAAGUACCGGUUCCCACAUAGUUAUACCUACUCUGUUUUGGAAGUACUUGAACAAGUUGAAAAAGGCCCUCCCGACCACUGGGUACGGUAACUUCUGGCAGCUCUUAUUGUCCACUCUCAAAUUGGAUUUUGGUAUUGUUUUCGACAUUGGAAUCAGCAUAAUGUUUUCUAUGUUUCAUGAACUCUUCAUAAUUUUCUUAAAUAUUUAAUUUUUUAUCUAAAUCUAAGAAAUUACAAGUUUUAUUGCGAAAUUUGUUAGCCAUGGAGUUGCACUUCUUGAGCGAUGACAAAUUUGCCGAUGGGUAAUCGCAACUUAUAUGGAGCCAAUAACAGAACGGUGCAGCUGCCCUUUGGAAUAAUGUAAAAAAGCUGAGUCAAAAAAGAGGUUCCGGCUUUAAUGUUAUAGAGAGAUCUUCCAUAAUUCAGGAUCACUCUCACUCACCGUCUUACUUGUUCUUUAAGAUGCCAAUGGGCCAGCGAGGCAUUUAGUGCCUUCAUGUUUCUGAUCUUCUUUAGACAACCAUUUUCUUAAAAGUUUAACUUCGAAUUGCUUGAAUUCAUUUGGAAGAAUGAAAAGGUGAAUGCUUCUAGAAGAAAAAAAGCCAAAAAUUCUAACUAAGCGGAGAUAAGAUACGAGUCAUGUGACAUUAUUUGGAUAAACACUAACUUUAUGCAAGUAUUAAUUUGAUUCUUCACUCAAGAUUUUCCAUUAAACUUUCUUUUGCAAACACGGCGACGUUGGUGUACUUUAUAUUAAUCCUAAUUCCAGUAUUUUAUAAUGAUGUUCUUCUUUUCGAAGUGGGAAUCCUCAUGGCGUCGGUUGCCAAGGUCGUAGGAGUUUGACAGCAUUAACUUCAUAUCAUUCCCUUUAAUGGUGUCAUGAGUUCCUUGAGAACAAUGUCUAUCAACCAAUUUGUCAAUGGACUUUUUCCCCCUAACAUGGUUUCUCACUCAAUUUGAUGGAGUGCAAUUCAACCAAUUGAUGCAUUCGUUGUUGAAUUGUACUAGAGCCAACAAAGAAUCGUCCAAGUUCAAUUCUCCAAAUUCAUACGAGUGGGUAUUUUCAUUUUCCAAACUACACCCGGUUCAAGAAUAGGGUGGGGAAGCCCGGCUGUUUAACAGAAGGACCACUCCGAUUCGGAAGAAGAGAAGGAUGGAUAAUCCGGAAGAGGAGCAAAAAUGUAAGUCUGGACCAGAUAACAGCCACAUUCCCAAGCAUUUAGCAAGGAAACAUGGGCGACGAGUCAAUAGAUGCAUGUGCUGGGAAGACAACCGCAUCUCUGAAAAUUGGACAAAACUAUCAAAAUAAGUACGAUGGCACUAAAUCAACUGGGUAAUCAAAUUGAAGAUAGACCCUUGACUGGUUUAGAAAAUUUGCCACUGUCAAGAGCUGUUCUAACACUGGUAAGUGACACAAGCUGCUCCGACGCUAAUGAUGGUAAAACCAACCGCUACUUCAUGGAGGUGAGUGGGAAACGACCAUUUAAGGUUCGAUGAAUUUAUAUAUUCAAUUCAAGAGAAGUGGUAAGAAUGGGUGAAAACGACCAAGUUAGUCUAUAAUUUUUGAGUUUUCCACUUUGCUUUAUUUUUAUUGAUAGUAGCUGUGUUGCUAAUCAUAUCUUUGCAUAGUGCUAUUAAGUUGUAAUAGUAAAUAGUCAAGUGUACAAGUGUAAGGAUAAUGAUUGUGUCAUGAUAGUGUGAUGCAUCGGUUGAUAGGAGCAACAUUGAUGAUUUUAAUUUGCUUUAAUGUUUACUAGUGGAUUUCAAUCUUGUUGCAACUAUUAGUCUGGAGAAUGGACAUAUGCUUUGGGAUAAAACCGAACUACUAUAAAUCUUAGUAUGUCAUCUUCUAUCUCUUUAUUAUUAGCAUCACUUGUUGAUUAUUAGUAACUGUUCAUCAGCAUCACUUAUGAUAACUUAACCUGUUUCUGCUGAUGCUGAAAUUUAACUCGUUAUGUCCCGCAAAUGUUCUUCGUAGUUCUCAUUGAUUUGUUUUACACUUAAUGCCACAACACCGCGCUCCUUGUGAACGGUCAGUGGCAAUAAGGAACGACCUAUACCACCCUUUCCUGGGGAUCCUCACCGUUGGAACCCUGCCGCCCUUCCAAAGAAUACUCACAAGAGAGCUGCGAGCAGACAUGUUAGCACGCAUGCAAACAUCCUGGCUCUACUACAACACAAGGAAAGAUCGCGACAAACUAUAAAAUGGCUCACAAGGAUUUUAUUAUAAGCAUAGCUACGAUUACACACAGUUCGGAAACACAGAAUAUACUAAGCAAGUCCCAAAGAAAUUACAUACUAGGUAUCUUCCAUACUCAAAUCUGGAGCUUUGGGUGCAUCAAACGCUCCAUCUAGUAAUCAGAUAAGAAACCAAAUCAGGAAGACGACAUUCACAUGGUUUCGGGGAACCAGUGUCAAUGCCAAUUUGGUCCACACUUGCUCUCGAGGAGUAAAUUCUGACCCAAUAAGUAUUGAAGUUAAAGUCAUGAAAACAAUAUAUUACCCUCAGCCUUUGAUAGGUUGAGGAUUUCGACUUCAAAUUCCAGUUCUUUCUUGUUAAUGAACCCUUUCUUGAGAUCUUCCCACGGCAUAAAGACUGGCUGACAACACUCGUAAUAUUUGGCAGAGAGCCAACCACUAACUGCAAUGCCCCAAAAUAAAUACUUAUUAAUUCCUUUUUUUUUAAAGUUACCAUCACGAAAAACUUCAAACUAGUAUAUACGUGACAAAUUUAGCCCAAAACUUAUUUUUGGAUCACUAAAAAUCCUAAAUUAAUACAUAUGUGAUAAAUUUACCUCAAAUUUAUAUGAAUUUUCGUGUAGACUCAUCAUGUGUCAUCAAAUUCAAUAAUUUCAUAGUAAAAUUUAAUAGAGGCUAACCAGUUAAAUUUGUCAUUGGUGUACUAAUUUAGAGGUUUUGAUAAUCAAAAAAUUAAUUUGAAGAAAAUUUGUCAAAGUCAUAUUAAUUUGAAGUUUUUUGUGGUAUUAAUUUUUUUUUUAAAAAAAAAUUGUAGACGAAGCCAUAUCUAAUUAGCAUACUCAUACUCAAGGUGGAACGAUGAAGAAUGAUAUUCACGUAGGAGAUAUUCACGUGCUUAUCUGGAUUAUUGUUGUGAUACUCAAAGGUUGGGAAGUCAUAUAGAUUGGGCUCUGAGCCCUUUCCAAAAAGCCACUCGGAAAUUUUCCUUUAAAUAAGAAUGAUAUUCAUUUAUAAAAGAUCUUGGAAAAAUCUGCACGGUUUUCUUUUUUAUUUUUGCAGGAUUUAUAUAUGGUAAUACUUACAUAUAUAAGCGUUAGCCCGUUUGUUUUGGAUUAAGCAAACUGAAAAAAAAAAAAAUAUAUAUAUAUAUAUAUAUAUAUAUAUAUAUAUAUAUAUAUAUCAUUCAAAUACUAAAAAGUCGUGCAAAAGUUAUGUGCAAAAUUACCAGCAAACAUUUGCAUGUUGUAAAGUUUGAUUAACAAUAAGCAAAAGUAUGCGCAUCGUAAAUAAUUGAUUUUGUAAAAAAAAGUAAAACUCAAUCUAGACACACAGCUGUUACAGAGAAAAAGGAAAAAAAAAAUACCUGUGUUUUUUUUAUAGUUUUUUGGGUAGCUUUUGUUCAACACCCGCAAAUUGGCUUCCACAUACAUUUUAAUCCCCGGACGAUCACGAAGGCGCGGCGCUUGUAAGUAAACGGACAUUGACCAACGCUGCUGCGGCCCAUUGCUCUGGGGAAACACUUUUAAUUGCCUACACACGAUAAUUAUAGUUAAAACAAAGAUAAGUUUAUAACUAAUUCUAAAACUUUUCACAAGAGUAUAGAUGAAUCCUAAAACUUAUGAUUAAAGUACAAUUGAAUUCUAAAAAUUUAAAAAGUACAUUCAAAACUUGUUAAAUUAGUAUAAUCAAAUUUUAAAACUUAUUAACAUUUUUUAAAACUUGUUAGCAUUUUCCAUUUAUCAAGUUUAACGAAGUUGAUGAGAAAACACGAUUGCACCAACUCAGCAGGUUUAAGGACUUGAUCCCAUUUUUUCAAAGUUUUAUGGCUUAAUUAUAUUUUUGUGAUAAAUUUUAGAACUUCUCGUGUAUUUAUUCCUGAAAUUUAAAAAGAGGCAAAAGGCGAGUAGCUAAUUCCAUUUCCUCGCCAACUUUUUUGUUCUGGGAAUGUACCACUCCCACCCUCCGACUUUAAAGGGCGUGGAACGCUGAGCUUGCUUGCUCAAUGCGGAGAAGUUUUGGAUAGUGGUCCUUUGAGGCGGAAAUUUGGCUAUGGUGAGGGUCUCCUCUUUCCUCUUACUUUCGCUGACCAUAACCUCAGCCCCAAAUACGCAAUAGUCGUCCUCGCGGUACCCACGUUUUGUUUUUUUUUGGACAAGUUUGCGGUACCCAUGUUUAGGAUCUUCGAAAGUUGCCAAGGGAAGGAACUUAGCAAACCCACAUAGGGUAUCUUCUUUAGUGAGUACCCUCGGUUUCUUCUCUUUCUCUGCACACACAUUUCCACAAGUUGAUAUAAACUCGGUUGUCAAUUCUAAACUAUGAUGACAUUACCGGGAGUGUGAUUUCAUUGUCUUUGAUCAUGAAUUACACAAUGAUCGACCUUGGAAGAUGACGUAGGUCCCAUUCCUGUUGUCGCGUACGAAAAACUUGUAGUCAACCAAGACCGUCCGGUUUCCAAGCUUAUUUGGCUUCUCCAUUGACAUAGAUAAGGACAAAUGUUUCUUCCCCGCACAGUCCUCGUAGUUACUGGUUUCAAGACAUAGGCUCCUGAAAAGGAUGGAUUAGACGUUUAAUUUAGCUAUGAAUCAAUUGACCGUUGUAUCUCUUAAUUGAGUUCAUUGGCGCUCCAAAUGAUACAAGCGUCGAGUUAUAUGAAGCAAAAGGGAAAUUCGAGAACUUACCAUUCGUAGCCCCCAGCUUAAAAAAAACCGAAUUUAUACUUGUCCAAUUUUAAUAAUUCGUUAACUGGUUCUAUCUUCACUUCAUAAUGAACUGGUGGAAGAGAUCUACGCGGCAAAUUGCCAGCACGAUCUGCCCAAAAAAACAAGAAACAUCUAAGCACAACUGAUUGUAUUCUAGGAGAUAGAAGGUUAUUCAAUGGCUCACCCCAAUGGGCAUAAAUUGGCCCUUCCACUUUAGGUCUUUUAGACAAAAUUUAAAGGUGAAGUAUUGAAUCCCGAAAGACUUUGAGAAUUGAAAUCCUCUUUCUUGAGAAAUCCGUAUCUCUCACAUGAAAAUAGUGGGAAUCCGUAUUCUAUUUCUUGAGAUAUCCAAUUGAAGCAAAGGAGACUAAGUUCAUGGCAAGGUAAGAUCUAACUUAACAAUCAUGAACAGUCAUGGAUGUAGAAAGGUCUUACCUGAAUCUUCUAAAAUGGCAUUACAGCCUAACAAAGUUUUGUUGAAAAGUUUAAAAGCAAAAGCAUGACUUAUCAAGAAUAACAACAAAGACUUAAGGUUAAGAAAAAAAUGAAAGUAGAGCACAAACACAAAAAAUGAAGGGAAGUACCAGGUUCCUUCUCCACCGGCAUGUCUCUUAGCUUGCUCUUAGCUCUUCGUUGCUUCCUAAUUUGCUUCUCUCUCUCUCUCUCUCUCUCUCAAACUGGUCGGAGACUUUGCUCAUCAAUCCCAGCCAUGAUGGAGUUUAUAUAGAGUCCGUUAGGACAAUAACAGAGUAGUUUCCUGAACCUUUUAAGAAGUAUCCCCGACUUUUCUCCGAAUAAAAGUUGAAAGAAGAGUUUCCGUGCUUUGAACGUCCUCUUGUGGCCUCUUUCCUAGCAACCAACCCCAUAACAUGAAAAAUUCGUCUGUUCACACCUGAAGGAAGCCAAAAGGACGCCGGGGCGGCCGGUGUAAUGAGGCAAUUGUCAUUAUUUCGCCCUCCCACUUCUCGACGCGUUAAAAAUUUGUCUUGAAAAAGAAAAAGACUUAAACAGGAAGAGUCAAUGACCGGGAGUGGCACUCGUUGACUCAUUGACCAAGAUCCCCAAAAUUCAUAGAGACCAAGCGUUUAUUGGGAUCUUGAGCCUAUGGCCGCUCACCACGGAGGGGUGCUCAUGGACCCCUUUGAUGUCAUUAGUCUCAAGCCCACCAAAUUUUAAGAGGAGGAUUCUUUUAUGUAAGUGCACUUUAAAGUUCGCAUCCUAAAUCGCUACACUCUUAUGAAAAAAUCAGUAUGAGGUAGUCUAUUUCCAAACGAAAAAUUACAAACUUGAAUUAUUCUAAAAAGAAAAAAAAAUUGCUAUCGAUCUUAGAAUGCGUUUAGCCUGUGCAAGCUACCUUCACCAAAAGUAGCUUGCACACAAUGGAUGAAACUUGAACAAGUCACCUUUGGUUCUUGAGUUAAAAAUCUUCUGACCUCCUAACUAACCGUGUCAAUCUUCAAGGGUUACAAUAAAUAAACAAGUAUGUUUGCUUUAGCUGUUUUAUGUUUCUAAAGUGAUUUCAAGGACAUACGUAUCAUCUACACAAUUGAGGUCAUGCUUAUUUUUCCUAGCAAAGUGUGGAAUAUUCAAAUUUUCAAUCAUUUUUCAGAAGUGAUUUGCCAACUUUUAUCGUUUGAUCCUGGUUGGCGUUUGAGUUUUCUCUUUCUUUUGUGUGUGAGAGUAGCUUGGAGGAAAACAGUACUCAUUUGGCGUAAUAAUUUGAGGGGGCACGUAACCGCGUACCAAAGAUAGUUAGGUGGGAAAUUGACCGGACGGCAUUCGUUGACUCGUUGACCAAGAUCCCCAAGAAACACCGAGGGUUCCCAUGAUCAUUAAGUCUGUGGCGGGCCCACCGAAUGUGACGCCACUGGUUGUGACGUCAUAUAGCGAGCUCACCCAGAGAGUGGCGCUCGUCGACCGUUUGACCGAGCGACCCAGCGUUUGUGUUAUUGACCGAAUAAUGACCCCUCGAUCGGAGAAAUGGGCGGUAGGCCUUGCCUUUCAUAUCUCAUCCCCCGUGACUCGUGAAGUACUCUAAUUGCUGCUACAAGUUCACAUUGGUCUCAUCAAUUUUUGAUCAAAUGAGAACUUUAUAAUUGCAUUGAAAUGUUUCUAUAACGACACCAAUAAGCAUGCGAAUAUAGUGAUAUUAUGCGAAUUCAUGACCUAUAUAUAAGAAUAAUAAAUUAAAAUAACGCCGCUAUCUCGUAAGAAUUUUUAUGAUUGUGCUGCUUCUUCUUGAAACUUGCAUCUAGGUAAUUUUACUUUUAUUUGAAAAGAAACAACUAAAACCUCCCCCACAUGCAAAUAAUUAACAUGUAAAUUCACAUACAUGUGACAUGAUUUCAUUUUCAACAUUUUGUAAAAAAGAGUUUGCCUUUUCUUUAAGUAAAUUCAUAUAGUCUAUAAAAAAAAAAGCACAUAUGUAUCUCCUAAUUCACCCGCUGCGGGAUUUCUUCUUUUCACGUGUAUGGCCAUAUAAUAUUGCUUCUUAAUCUUUACUAGGAAUAUAAUGGAAUCUCAAUAAUUUUUACUCUUUGGAUGAGGUUAUUUUCAUUUUGAAUGAAUCCGAGCUCAAUUAGGCGUUACCUGAUGUGUCGAAUGUUCUUGUGCAAAUAAAAUUUUUGGUAAACAAUGCACAAUCACUUAAACACUCAUAUGUUUGAAAUGAAAGAGAAUUGAUUUUGGACGUGAGUUACGAUUCGAAUGAGCAACUUAGCGACUACUAAAUCUAAAUAUUUAUUAAAAAUGGCCCGACAGAAUUGGAUCUUUAUACAAAAUUAAAAGUUAAGCAUUUUAUCCUUCUUUGCUAUUAGGAGGAUAGCAAAUAAUAUUACUAAAAAUUGAUGAUAGAUGCAAAGUAAUAUGGAAUUUUGAAGAGUAGACAUCUCACUUGGAGACUAAUUUUAUAAUAAUGUUAAAUUUAUAUGCACAUCUGCCUGCACGCGUAUCAUAUAUUUAGUGUUAACUGUUCCCCACGAAGGUGGAUAUUUCUUUAGAAGCUUUUGCAGUGGGCAAAAUAUUUAGAGGAUUCCUUUCAAAUAGCGGACUAUGCCAACAAAUUGCUAUAUUAGCUUAUGAAACACAUUCCCAAUUGGAAUCUUUAUAAUAAAUAAAAUUUCAAAAAGUUUAAAAGCAAAAGACAUGAAUUACUAAGAUUAACAAAUAAGUGAAGUACAGGUUCACACAUAGCUACACCUACUUUUGUUUUGGAAGUAUUUGAACAAGUUGAAAUAAACCCUCCCGACCAUUAAAGUGUAGUAACUCCUGGCAGCUCGUAUCGUCCACUCUCAAAUUGGAUUUCGAUGUUGUUUCCAACAUUGGAAUCAGCAUGAUGUUUUCUAUGUUUCAUGAACUCUUCAUAAUUUUCUUAAAUAUUUUAUUUUUUAUCUGAAUCUAAGAAAUUAAUAAUUUUAUUGCGAUAUUUGUUAGCCAUGGAGUUGCACUUUUUGAGCGAUGACAAAUUUGCCGAUGUGUAAUCGCAACUUAUAGGGAGCCAAUAACAAAAUAGUGCAGUGGCACUUUGGAAUAAUGUAAAAAAGUGAGUUUAAAAAGAGGUUCCGGCUUUGAUGUUAUAGAGGGAUCUUCCAAAAUUCAUGAUCACUCUCACUCACCGUCUUACUUGUUCUUUAAGAUGCUAAGAGCGCGUUACCGAAAACAGCUGAUUCUAUUCUUUUGUUUCCGGGAACAAAAUUGCAUUUUUUUUAUUCCCAAAAAUAGAUUUGGAAUGCAAUCAAGAAGUAAAAAAAAAUAAAAAUUACUUCUUGUUUCUAGAAACAAUUUAUGGAAUCAAAUCUAAUUUUUCAUUUUCUCUUUUCUUUUCUUCUCUUUCCUUUUCUUCUUCUUCCUUUUGGCCAAUUGCCAGCCUCGGCCAUGAUCGACGACCAGCUGAUGAGGGCCGGCGACCUCACCGGCUCGAGUCUCACCAUGGCUGGGCGAGGAUGUUCAAUCAAGCUAGAUAUCUUCAUUUUUCAUAAGCACUAUUAACCAGAAGAUUUGUAUCUGCAUAUGUAUAAAUUCAUGAGUGGUUGUGAAUGUAGAAAGGUCAUAUUUGAUCCAUUUUCUAUCCCAGCAUUAUAACCAAAAGAUCUUCGUAAAAGUUUGAAACAAAAGGCACGAAUCAUUAAGAAUAACAACACGGACUUAGGCUAACAAAAAAAUGGAAAUAGAGAGAAAAGACGAGAUGAAGUGAAGUUCUGGUCGUGGCAAAGCAGCUCAUUGCCAUCUUGGAAAGCGUGAUCUCUUAGCUUGCUCUUAACUCUCCGUUGCUUCCUAAUUUGCUCCUCUCUCUCUCUCUCUCUCUCUCUCUCUCUCUCUCUCUCAAACUGAUCGAAGACUUUGCUCAUCAACCCCAGCCAUAAUGGGGAUUAUAUAGAGUCCAUCCAAACAAUAAAAGAUUAGAUUCCCAAACUUUGGAAAAAUUACUAAAAAAGUUUUAAACUUAUUACAAUUGUGUUAAUUUAGUCAUAAACUUAUUUUUUUGACUAAUUAAGUUAUAAACAUUUUGAAAUUGUGUUAGUUCAAUCUCUCCAGCCAAAAUUGGCCAACUGGCGUUGACGUGGCUAUUGGCGGGCACCGACAACAAUUUUUUUGAUAAUAUUUUAUUUUUUUCAAAUUAAUUUAUUAAUUUUUAUCCUUUUUUUUUCUCCUCCCUCCUUCUUCCUUUGGUUCUAACAAUCGACCAGAGAGGAGAGCUAGCUGGUCGUUGGACUAAGGUGGCCGAGCGAGCUCGCCCAGCCACUAGCAAGGCAAGCCCAUGUCAAAUCCAGUAGGGGCUCGCCUCAUUAGACCCAACAACGGUGAGGCAAGCCCUCGUCAGAUCAGGCAAGGGCUCACCUCGCUAGUGGUUGGGUGAGCUCGCACUCACCCAACAACGGCGAGGCGAGCUUGCCCGGCCACCUCAAUUUGAUGACCAGCCAGCCCUCCCUGCUGGCUAGUCACUGAAGCCAAACGAAGGAGAGAAGAGGAGAAAAAAAAAUAAUUUGAAAAAAUGAAGUAUUAUUAAAAAUUGUCGUGGGCGGCCACGUCAGCGCCGAUCAGCCAAUUUUUGUUAGAGAGACUGAAUUGACAUAAUCUCAAAAGAUUUAUGACUCAAUUGAUUAAAAAACAUUAAGAUUGAAUUGACAUAAUUAUAAGAAUUAUAAGAAUUUUUUCAUAAUUUUUUCUCUAACUUUUUAGGAGUGUCCCCGACUUUUCUCCUAAUAAAAGCUGAAAAAAAAGUUUCAUGUUCUUUGAAUGACCUCUAGUGGCCUCGAGGAAGCCAAAAAGAGACGUGAGCGGCCAGUGUAACGAGGCAAUUGCCAAUAUUUCCCUCUCCCACUUCUUGACGCGUGUAAAUGUCUUGAAAAAAGAAGAAGUCUUAAACAGGAAAAGUCAAUGACCAGGAGUGGCACGCGUUGAUUCAUUGACCAAGAUCCCCUAAAAUCAUUUAGUCCGAGCGUUUAAUGUGCUUGAGUCUAUGGUGAGCUCACCACGAAGGGGGUGCUCGAGCCCAUCAAAUUUUAGGAGGAGGAUCCUUCUAUGUAAGUGUACUUUAAAGUUUGCAUCCUAAAUCGUCACGAUAUUACGAAAAAAUCAAUAUAAUAAGAUGAUCAAUAUAAUUUAUGAGAAAAGUAGUCUAUUCCCAAUCUAAAAAUUACAAACUUAAAGUACUCUAAAAGAAAAAAUAAAUUACUAUCGAUCUUGGAGUGCGUUUGGCCUAUGCUGGUUGCCUUCACCAAUAGUAGUUCGUACAUAAUUGAUGAGAAUUAAACAAGUCAUCUUUAGUUUUUGAGUUAGAAAUCUUUCGACCUUCUAACCAACCAAGCCAACCUUUGAAGGUUAAAUAAAUGAACAACUCUUUUUGCUUUAAUUGUUUGUGUUUUUAAAGUGAUUUCAAGGAGAUGUAUGUCAUCCGGUUAACACAAUUGGGGUAAUGCUAACUUUUGACAAGUGUGGAAUGAUUCAAAUUUUCAAUUAUUUAUCAAGAGUGAUUUGUCAACUUUUGUCGUUUGAUUCAUGUCGGCGUUUGAGUUUUCUUCCUUUCUUUUUUGUGUGUGUGAGUAGGUUGGAGGAAAAAUAGAACUAUUCGAGAGAGGACUAGUAAGUAAAACAGUACUCAUUUGGCGUAAUAAUUCGAAGGGACGCGUAACGUCGUACAAAACGAAGGCAGUGGGAAAUUGACCGGACGUGGCAUCCGUUGACUCGCUGACCGAGAUACCAAAAAUCAUGGGGACCGACAGGGUUCACGUGAUCCUCGAGUCUAUGGCGGGCCCACCGAAUGCGACAUCGCUAGUUGUGACGUCAUAUGGCGAGCUCACCCAGAAAGUGAGGCUCGUUGACCCUUUGACCGAAUGACCUAGCGUUUAUGUGCUCUUCGGUGAAUAAUGACCGCUCGACCAGAGAAAUGAACGGUGGGCUUUGCCCUCUCAUAUCUCAUCCCGCGGGACCGUGAAAUACUCUAAUUGCUACUACAAAUUCACUUUGUUUUCAGUCAUUUUCAAUCAAAUGAGAACUUUAUAAUUGCCUUGAAAUUGUUUUUAUAACGACACAAAUAAGCAUACGAAUAUAAUGAUAUGAUGUGUCUCACAACCUAUAUAUAAUAAUAAUAAAUUAAAAUAAAGUCUCUUUAUCAAAUAAAUUUUCUUGAUUGUGUUGUUUUUUUUCUUAAAUCUUGCAUCUACGGUGAUUUUAUUUUUAUUUAGAAAAAAAAAACUAAAACCUCCCCACAUGCAAAUAAUUAAGUAUGUCAAUUCACAUAUGUGUCACGUAAUUUUCAUUUUCAACAUAUUGAAAAAUAUGGUUGGCCUUUUCUUUAAGUAAAUUCAAAUAGUCUAUAAAAUACACAUAUUUAUCUACUACUUCACCCGAUGCAGGAUUUCUGCAUUUCACAUUUAUGGCUUCAUAACAUUGUUACUUAAUCUUAACUAUGAUAAAAACAUGUGCCCCACAAAAAAUAAAUCUAUUUAUCAAUCUACUAUUUACUUCUUUUACUUGACAUUUCUUGUCAUAGACAAGCAUUAUUUUUUUUAUUAUAUUUUCCCACUAAUCCUUAGACUAGAUAUUUGUUAAAACUAGUUGAGAUAAUUUAUAGUCCAUUUAACUACAUACUGCCACUGAGUGCCGUAAUUGUGUGUAAAAAUAUUGAAAAACUGCAGCAUCUCAAAAUUGACGUUAAGAAGCUUCCGAAAAUGUGUUACUAAUAUGAGCUCAGUCUGUUUUUAACUUGGAUAAGCCAAAGUUGAUCAUUGUAACACAACUAUAAAUGUAAUAUGCUAUUCAUAAACGCCAAAUUAUGGGUGUAUAUGUUUGUAAUUCUGUGUAAUAAAUUCAAUCGAGCAUUAUAAUUUUUCUUGAAAAAUAGGCAAUUAGUUGUAUAAUGGACUUUCAAUAUAUUUUACUCUUUGGAUGAUGUUAUUUUCGUUUUGAAUAAAUCCGAGCUCAAUCAUGUGUUACCUGAUGUGCCCUAAUGUUUUUGUGAAAAUAACAUUUUUGGCAAACAGUGGACAGUCAUUUAAAAACUCAUAUGUUUGAAAUGAAAGAUAAUUGAUUUUGGACAUGAGCUACAAUUCGAAUGAGCAACUUAAGUGACCACUGACUUCAAAAACUAAUUAAAAAGGCCCAACAGAAUUUGAUCUCUUUACAACAGUAAAGAUUUAGCAUUUUAUCCUUCUUUGCUAUUAGGAGGAUAGUAGAUAAUAUUACUAAAAAUUGAUGAUAGAUAUAUAUUUAAAAAGUAAUCUGGAAUUUUGAAGAGUAGACAUCUCAUUUGUAAACAAACUUUAUUACAAUGUUAAAUUUAUUUGCACACCUACCCGCACACGUACGUACAUACAUUCAAGGCGCUCAUGAAAAAAUUUGUAGAAGAGAAAUCAAUUUCUAGCCAGAAAUUGAUUUCUUAAUUUCUAUUUUCUGGACGAGUUUCUCAGCAAAGAAACGUGUUUGAUAACGAUUCAAAAUUUCUAUUUUUGGAAUAAAAAUUCAUUUAAUAACAUAAUAAAAUUUAUAUUUCAAGGGGUGGAGACGAUCGGCGUUCGGUGGCCACCAGCCAAUGACCGACUGGGGGGUGCUGGAGUCCAUAUGCGGCCGGACAGAGUUUGGUGGCUAACGUCCAGUGUCAGGUGUUCGCUGUCCGGUGGUCGGCGGAUGGAGUCCAGCAGCCGAUGGCCAAUGGCAGGCGGCUAGCGACUGGCAGCGAACGUCCGGUGGUCCGGCAUCCCACAAGUGGUGGAUGGGCAACGGGUGGUGACGAGAGUGAACGAUAAGAAGAAUUUUGAUUUCUCACUUUUGUUCCAAAAAUUGAAAAACUAAUUAUUUUAGCUUUUGAUUUCUGCUCCAAAUCUAUUUAUGAAAUAGAAAUCUAUUUUAGAAAUAAAAAAAUGGAAUUGUGUUAUCGAACAAAUUUCUAUUUCAAAUUUGUUCCGAGGAAUAGAAAAACAAAGAAAUAGGGAAAUAUAAAUUUUGUCAUGCAUGCUCUUAGUUUUAACUGUUCCAUACGAAGGGAGAUCUUUCUUAGGAAGCUUUCGCAAUGGGCAAAAUAUUUUGAGAAAUUCUUUCAAAUAGUGGACAAUGCCAAAAAAUUACUAUAUUAGCUUAUGAAGCAUAUUCUCAUUUGGAAACUUUAUAAACCAAAUAAAAUUUUAAAAAUUUUAAAAGCGAUAGACAUGAAUUAUUAAGACUAACAAAUAAAGUGAAGUUCCGGUUUCCACAUACCCACUCUUGUUUUGGAAGUACUUGAACAAGUUGAAAAAGACCUUCCCGACCACUAAGGACGUGCAUGAAGAAAUUUUUGGAAUAGAAAUAAACUUCUGACCUGAAAUUGAUUUCUCAAUUUCAAUUCCCUUGACGAGUUUCUAAGUAAAGAAACGUAUUUGAUAACGACUCAAAAGUUCUAUUUCUAGAACAAAAAUUCGUUUGAUAAUAGAAUAAAAUUUCUAUUUCUAGAGGGGCGACUGGCAUUUGACAGCUGGCGUCUCAUGGGUAGCGGGUGGUGACGAGAGUGAUGAACAGGUUUGGAACAGAAAUUUGGUUAAUAACGCAAUUUCAUUUUUCUAUUUCUAGAGUCGAUUUCUAUUUCAGAAAUAGAUUUGGAAUUAAAAUCAGAAGUUAAAAUUUUUAGUUUUUCUAUUUCUAAAACAAAAAGUAAGAAAUGAAAACUAUUCUCAUUGUUCACUCUCUUUGGAAUGCCGAACGCCUGCCGCCAGACGCAGCCGCUGCCCCUCUAGAAAUAGAAGUUUUAUUCCGUUAUCAAACGAACUUCUAUUCUAGAAACAUAAUUUUUGAGUUGUUAUCAAACGUGUUUCUUUACUCAAAAACUCGUCCAAGGAAUAUAAAUUGAUUUCUGGAACAUAAAUGUUGUCAUGUGUGCCCUAAGUGCGGUAACUCCUGGCGGCUCAAAUUGUCCACUCUCAAAUUGGAUUUCAAUGUUGUUUUCAACAUUAGAACCAUCAUAAUGUUUUCUAUGUUCAUGAACUCUUCAUAAGUUUCUUAAAUAUUUUAUUUUUUAUCUGAAUCUAAGAAAUUACGAGUUUUAUUUCGAAAUUUGUUAGCCAUGGAGUUGCACUUUUUGAGCGAUGACAAAUUUUCCGAUGGGUGAUCGCAACUUAUAUGGAGCCAAUAACAGAAUGGUGCAGCUGCACUUUGGAAUAAUGUAAAAAAUUGAGUCAACAAAGAGGUUCUGGCUUUAACGUUAUAGAGGGAUCUUCCAUAAUUCAGGAUCACUCUCACUCACUGUCUUACUUGUUCUUUAAGAUGCUAAUGGGCCAACAGGCGUUUAGUGCCUUCAUGUUUCUGAUCUUCUUUAGCAACCAUUUUCUUAAAAGUUUAACUUCGAAUUGCUUGAAUUCAUGUGGAAGAAUGAAAAGGCGAAUGUUUCUAGAAGAAAAAAGCCAAAAAUCCUAACUAAGCGGAAAUAAGAUACGAGUCAUGUGACAUUAUUUGGAUAAACACUAACUGUACACAAGUAAUAAAUUUGACCGAGUUAGUCUAUGACUUUUGAGUAGCUGUGUUGCUAAUCAUAUCUUUGCAUAGUGUUACUAAGUUGUAAUAGUAAGUAGUCAAGUGUACAAGUGUAAGGAUAGUGGUUGUGUCAUGAUAGUGUGAUCUAUCAAUCGAUGGUAGGAACAUUGCUGAUUGUAAUUUGCUUUAAUGUUUACUUGUGGAUUUCAAUCUUGUUGCAGCUAUUAGUAUGGAGAAUGGACAUAUGUUUUGGGAAAAAACCGAACUACUAUAAAUCUUAGUAUGUUAUCUUCUAUCUCUUUAUUAUUAGCAUCACUUGUUGAUUAUUAGUAACUGUUCAUCAGCACCACUUCUGAUUACGUUAAAUUGUUUCUAUUGAUAACUUGUUAUAUUCCGCAAAAAUUCUUCAUAGUUCUCAUUGAAUUGUUUUACACCUAACCCCACAACACCGCGCUUCUCGUGAACAGUCAGUGGCAAUAAGGAACGACCUUUACCACCCUUUCCUAGGGAUCCUCACCGUUGGAACCCUACCACCCUUCCAAAGGAUACUCACAAAGAGAGCUACGAGCAGACAUGUUAGAUAGCACGCAUGCAGACAUCUUGGCUCUACUACAACACGAGGAAAGAUCGCGACAAACUACAAAAUGGCUCACAAGGAUUUAUUAUAAGCAUAGCUACGAUUACACACAAUUCGGAAACACAAAAUAUACUAAGCAAGCCCCAAAGAAACUACGAUUCCACAAGGUUGUGGACAUACCAGGUAUCUUCCAUACACAAAUCUGGAGCUUGGGUGCAUCGAACGCUCCAUCUAGUAAUCAAAUCAGAAACCAAAUCAGGAAGACAUUCCCAGGGUUUCGGGGGAACCAAUGUCUACGCCAAUUUGGUCCGCACACUUUGCUCUCGAGGAGUAAUUCUCCAUUAAAUAUCGAGGUUAAGUCAUCAAACCGAUUCAUUACACCUCGCAACAUCUGAUACGACGAAAAUUUCGACUGCAAAUGCCAGUUCUUUCUUGUUAACGAACCCUCCAUUCGGUUUCUCGAGAUCUCCCCGCGGCAUAAAGUUUGGGCGACCGUAGUUGUAAUUUUUGGCAGAGAGCCAACCACUAACUGCAAUGCCCCGAAAGAAAUACUAAUUAGUUC